rnacentral:rRNA from 1 species
UACGUAGGCAGCAAGCGUUGUUCGGAAUUACUGGGCGUAAAGAGUGUGUAGGCGGUGCUCUAAGUUUGGUGUGAAAUCUCCCGGCUCAACUGGGAGGGUGCGCCGAAAACUGGAAUGCUUGAACAUGGGAGAGGAAAGCGGAAUUCCUGGUGUAGCGGUGAAAUGCGUAGAUAUCAGGAGGAACACCUGCGGUGUAGACGGCUUUCUGGACCAUUGUUGACGCUGAGACACGAAAGCGUGGGUAGCAAAUAGG